CUCACGCUCAUCUCUCCCUCGUCACUUUCGCUUGAUUUUAUACAAUUAAAGACAAAAGAAAGCGCAUUAAUUAACCGGAAGGAAACAGGUGUUUAGAGUAAAAAGAAAAAGGCUAAAUAAUUUAAACCGUCGUGGUCACUCGGAUUGCCCUGGAUACGGAUAAACUAUACCUGGGGUAUAAAUGGAACAAGUCACAUAAGGCUUGUGACAUUAUGCUAAAAGUACUAUUUAGUGUGGGAGUGUAUGGGGUUUUGAUGUAGCAUCUCUGAACAUAGUGGGUGGACUCACCCUAGCUAACUUCUUUCCUCUCGACUCGAGGUCAAGUUUUGUUGCCAUGUCAAGAAGAUAAUUUCUCUCCUGCUUGAAUGGGCUCAACACUACAUGAAAGAUAAGAUAAGAAGAAAAAAAGAGAGAGUGGGAGGCAGAGAUGAAGUCCAACAUUGCCACCGGCUCUCUUCCCCCUCUGCAAGUCUGUCUCUGCGUUUCUGGGAAGGGUGGAAGUGCACCAAGGCCAGCCAGGGUGAGGCGUCAUGGGCUUGAGAAGCAUCCUGAACCCCGCUCGGUCAACAGCACCUCUGGAGCUCAGAGCUCAGAGAGAAAUCAAUACAGGGAAAGAGAGGCUGAUGCUGGAUCACCCAACCUAGCCCUGAGCCUUCAGGCCAGAUGACCUCCCACACACACAUGGUCAUACACACUGACACACAUACAAAUACAUACUGACAUACAGCUAUGCUAUCUUUCGCAAAAUCACACACACUCAUGACUACCACACACCUACACAUGCAUGUGUUUAUGUGUCUGGUUUUCCUCGAGGCCAUGUUAUUUUGGAGCAGUCUCUACAAUCCAAACAAGACUCAAUUAUUUUUUUCUGAAGAUGGCAAAGGUCCUCGCUUUGUGUUUCCCUCACUUUUUGCACCAUUUCUCUAUUUGUGUCCGUACGUGUCACCUUCCACCUCUGUGUGGCAAGAAAAAUCAUUCAAAUGUAUCAAAUAUCUACAAGGAUGGACUUCCUCCCCCCGAGCAACUCAUUGCCUAUUCAGUGGCAAGACUUGAAAGACGCAAGCAGCUGUAUCACGUUGCUGUGCUGUUGCUGUGCUCCAGAAACUCUGCACCAGAAACUCACUUUGUAAUUACCAAUUCUUUCACAAUCAACCAGCUCACAACAUAGUCAGCAAAAGGGAGACCUUCUGGUUCCUGAACAUGAUGUGGACUUAACAUGAAACAUAGUGUAAGAGACUGAAGAACACCCAGAGGAACAGUGAUGGCUGCUCAAACAGUGACUUCAAACUUCAGCUAAGACAGAUCGUUUUCCCAGCGAUAUGGACGAGGACAAGAGACGUGAGUCCCAACAAGUGUGUGUGAAGAGACAGACAGCACUGGAGUGAAGACAGUGAUGUUCAGUUGCUCUCAUUCUGCUUGAAAUCAGAAUUUCACUGUGUGAUUUUUGUGAAGUACAGAAUGAGUUUCUGAUGAACUUACUUUGUUCUCAGGUUGCUUUUGAUUAACAACAUGGACAUUUCAUUUUUCUCUAACUACAAGAGGUAAGUAGAUAAA